CCUGGGCUCAUUUAAAGGCUCACCUGCAGAGCAGAGCCCUUUCUGGAUGAAGGCUCUUCCUGAGAGGAAGUGUUGUGUAUCAACAGUUCGCCAAUUGGUGGAGAAAACAUAAGCAUAACUAAAGAAGUUGGAAAUGUUCAUGAGAGAGAAUAUUGAUUUUUCUGGAGUUUUCAUGUGCUACCUCUGAACUCAAAUUUGUUUGGGAAAGUUCCAUCACAAACACCCAGCUAGAUCCACGACUUACAGCAUAAGAAUGUGAGCAUUUUCUGCUAUUCAGAAAAUGUUGGGUGUGUGUAUUACAUAAGUCUAAAAGCCUCUCUUUUAAAACAUUAGGCUCAGUAGGAGGCAUGAGUAAUCUGCACUCUGCCUUGUUUGAAGCAAUUGGUUUUGAAAGAAGAACUAUGCAAACUUGAAAAUACCUGUUUGUGGUAGUCUGGCAUUGUGUUCAUUUUCUCUGUAUUGGAGAGGGACAAGAACAGAGAUACUAUUAACUUUCGAAGUGAUGGGGAAUGAAAUCUUUUUACAUGUGGGAUUACUUUUUUAAGUUAUGUAAGCUAUUCUUUCAAUAAUACAGUAUCCCCAGUUGUUGAUUGAUGCACGGGUUCUAUAUUACUGGCUCUGCAGCAUGCUUUAGAUUCCUUAUGGAUGUUGUUUUUAGUGCUUUAAUAGAGAGGGAAUCUUUUAUUUCAAAAAUUAGCACAUAUAUUUAGAAGUUAGACCAACCUGUUUAAUUAGCUUGUUUGUAAGUUUCACUGAAAUGCUACAAUAAUAUUGUUUGGGCAAGAAACUUUUGCUGUCAUCCAGUUUUCCUCACCUGUUUAUUGAAAUAUCUGCCUAAUAUACAUUAAAUUUAUGCAAGAAAACCUUCCAAAGAUUAGACUAUGAUGUGUGGAUGUAAAAAAUUAAUAGGGACCAUGCAUUUCUCAGCAGGAUAGCUUCACAAGUGGAUGUGUGGUGGUUAGGAGUUAUGUAUCUCUUAGGCUAUUGGAUUUGUAUAAUAAUUUUCAUGGGAAACUGCUGUGAUUUCAGGGAUGCAAGACCAUUAAGGAGAGGUAGGAUCUUUUUCUUCUCAAGUAAGAAGUGAAAGACCCUCUACAUAUCACUAAAUGUUUUAGGAAAAAAAGAAAAUAGACUUACUAAGUACUCUAAAGGGACUUGUCACGUACAAUUUUCUUUAUUCAUAAUAUGCUAUGAACCUUUGAGAAAUAGCUAUGACAUGACAUAAGCUGCAGGAUAAGCCUGAAAGGCAAGAAUGCCAUUAUGGACGUGUAGAUAUUUCUUGUUAGUCUUUCAGUAUAGAGAAAUUCCAGUAAACAUUGACGUUUUGACCAGCUAUUGUUCUGGAAGGAAUUUCCUUUCUGUUGCUAGAUCUGUAAAUGGUCAAGUUAUCAUUAAGCAAUUCCCACAAAAAAUAUUUUUUUUAUCCUGUCCACGUUGUUCUGUUCAUUUUCAUUGCAGUGUUGUCAUCUGUAUCCUGUAGGUGUGGUCAUUCAUGGAUUUUGAAGUUCUACUGAGGUAUUUUCUAAGGAUCUCUAUUCUGUCUAAUAUGUUAAUGUAUGGGACAAUACAUCUACUUAUAUUAAAGUUCUGUCUAUUGUACAAGACAAACAAUUUUGCAGGAGAAUAAACAAUUGCAUAGCUUUGUUUUGCCCCUCAGUCCUAUUGUACAGUCUUGACAAGAUACAGGGUCAUGGAUCUUUGUCUUUUGUUGCUGCUGUUCCUAAAAUUGUUCAUACUUCUAGAAAUUUGUCUUUGUAAGACAGGUUCUCUGCCAUUAUUAAAAGUGCAUUGUUGAUCUGUCACUGCCUGGAUACUGUUCUUUCAAGUGCUUUCCUAGGCUUCUGUAUUUCUAUGAGUUAAAAUCUGUGUAGUAGGAAGUGAGAACUCAGAGCACAAAAAACAGACUUCAAUGUCAUAAGGGAUAAAUAGAAGAUAAUGAGGACUUGCUGCAAACUCUUCUAUUUUUGCAACGAAACCUGAGGAGGAGGAAUUCUUGUUCUCAUGAGACUUGAUGGGGUUCUAAAUCUUCCUUCUGUCUUACAAGCCUGUUAAUAUGCUGUAAUCUGUGUUUUUACUACAGAUACAAGAAUGUCUGCUUGGUCAAAUGUAAUGCUUUAUGCACUGUAGUGUUCUUUUUCAAGCAAUGUCCAGAACCAAAUCUAUUAAAGAUGAGCAGAAGUAGUCUGACAGAUUGCCCCCAGCAUGUUACUGUUUUAGGCUGAUUUCUGCUUUGAAACAGGAGGUUUUGAAUAACAUGAACCAAUUUUAUGUGAAAACAGGAAGGCAUAAAAAGUGAUACUGAGACAAAAGUUUGCAGCACAGCUUAGGAGAUAUAGAUAAUAUUGCUGUAAUAAUGUGAUUACGCAAAUUCUUCAUAUCAUUACUGCUUCGCUUCUGUACUUUCACUGUGAUCCACGGGAAUCGGGGCAUAGCAACUCAAGUAACAGCAUGUCUGCAUUGUGAACAAUGGGAAUUCUGGCUGUAAAAGAUGAUAGAUGUUGCUCAGUAAAUGAGAAACUUGGUAAUUCAUGGGGUGACUGAGUCAGAAUAACUGAAAAGAAGAAAAUUCUGAAGUGAAGAACAAACAAAAUAUGAGAAACAAAAGUCUGUGGUGAAAAUAAUGGGAAGUAGUAUGGCCAUUAUUUUGAUGAUUCAUCACCAAACUUUAGUACAGUAUCAUUUAUUAAUGAAUUUUGUACCAAGUGUAAGUGGAAGCCAACAAAGACUAUGAUAACAUAUGAAAAAAGAAGUCCCAAUUAUGUUUUCCAGAUGUCAGUAUACAACGUGCUAUAUACUCUGCCAGAAGUCUAAAUGGUUGAAGAACUGGGAUCGAGAUGGAAACCUGAGUAUUUUGUUUGAGGGACUUUUUUGCUGCCUGUUGCUUUCAAGAAGCUGAAAGGCAAAUUAGGUAAAAGCUUUUUGGACUCUAAACAGAGCUGGCUAGAACUUGAAUAUUUGAGGGAAUCCUUGCAGUCCCACACCAUCUGCUGUGUAAGGCACUGAGAAAGUGUUGUUAUUCCUGCUGGAACAGAUGUGCGUACAGUCAUGUUUAUUGUAUCUCUUGUUUCCUUCUCUAAUUACUGCCCAUAUAUUUUUGCUUUGGCUAUCCUGUGUGCAUUCCCUUGAGUUAUUUGGUGUAACAGUAGCCGUUCAGUCUUCAUUCUUAACAUUGCAGGUAGUCUUCAAGUAACUUCAAAUAAAAAUUCCUUAGGAAAAAAUAACUCUUGUCUUAGUGCUUCCUUUUUGAUCAUAGUUUAAAAAA